GUGCUCGCCUCGGCAGCACAUAUACUAAAAUUGGAAUGAUACAGAGAAGAUUAGCAGGGCCCCUGCGCAAGGAUGACACGCAAAUUCAUGAAGCAUUCCAUAUUUGC
ensembl:snRNA U6 U6 spliceosomal RNA